ensembl:lncRNA
UCUGUCUUCCCCUGGGAAAGUCUUUUAAAGGCUUGAGGUCAUAAUUUUACUUCAACUGAGCUUCUUUGAGGAGUAUCUCAUUAUUUCCGGUUAUUUCCUUCUGGAAGUUGAUAGAGAUCAAAGAAUAAAUGCAUACAUAUUUUAGUCAUAUAUGUGUUCCUAUACGACUUCACUGGUUGGUUGAGCUCAAGCAUCAUUCAAUUACCAUGUCUUUUAGUCUUUCCUGGAAUGCUCAUUACAUAUCUGCAGUUCCGGAGACAAGUUCAUUUCCCGUCAUUUUCACAUCAUAUCUCCCAUUAUGGCCGCAGCAAACCACUGCAAGUUUUCUGAAUUUACCAUUUCUGCUGCUCCCUCAGCCUGGAAAGCCUGCUCUGCUCCUUUUUUUCACAUGCCCAACUGUGCGUUUUGUUUCAAGAAUCUUCUCUG